CCUCCACCCGUGUCGACUUGUAUUUUUGUUGCUUUGGCGGACCGGGCUCGCCCAUGGUCGCGUUUCGUGCGUGAGCAUGGCGUGCUGCCCACCGGCUUCGGCUGGGGCGCGUCCGCCAGAGACCUUUACAUCCAAACUCAUUGUUGUCCCCUGUAGUCUAAGGUUUAGAUUGAAGAAUUGAUAAAAACUUUCAACAACGGAUCUCUUGGCUCUGGCAUCGAUGAAGAACGCAGCGAAAUGCGAUAAGUAAUGUGAAUUGCAGAAUCUAGUGAAUCAUCGAAUCUUUGAACGCACAUUGCGCCCCUUGGUAUUCCGAUGGGCAUGCCUGUUCGAGCGUCAUAACAACCCCUUCGAGCUACCAUUUUGUGUGGCUACGGUGUUGGGGCUCGCCGAGUCGGCGGCCCUUAAAGGCAGUGGCGGUACCGAUGUCGGCUUUACGCGUAGUAAAUAGCUCGCGACAGAGCGGCGACGGCGACUAGCC
rnacentral:rRNA from 1 species